rnacentral:rRNA from 1 species
GAUGAACGCUAGCUACAGGCUUAACACAUGCAAGUCGAGGGGCAGCAUGGUCUUAGCUUGCUAAGGCCGAUGGCGACCGGCGCACGGGUGAGUAACACGUAUCCAACCUGCCGUCUACUCUUGGACAGCCUUCUGAAAGGAAGAUUAAUACAAGAUGGCAUCAUGAGUCCGCAUGUUCACAUGAUUAAAGGUAUUCCGGUAGACGAUGGGGAUGCGUUCCAUUAGAUAGUAGGCGGGGUAACGGCCCACCUAGUCUUCGAUGGAUAGGGGUUCUGAGAGGAAGGUCCCCCACAUUGGAACUGAGACACGGUCCAAACUCCUACGGGAGGCAGCAGUGAGGAAUAUUGGUCAAUGGGCGAGAGCCUGAGCCAGCCAAGUAGCGUGAAGGAUGACUGCCCUAUGGGUUGUAAACUUCUUUUAUAAAGGAAUAAAGUCGGGUAUGGAUACCCGUUUGCAUGUACUUUAUGAAUAAGGAUCGGCUAACUCCGUGCCAGCAGCCGCGGUAAUACGGAGGAUCCGAGCGUUAUCCGGAUUUAUUGGGUUUAAAGGGAGCGUAGAUGGAUGUUUAAGUCAGUUGUGAAAGUUUGCGGCUCAACCGUAAAAUUGCAGUUGAUACUGGAUAUCUUGAGUGCAGUUGAGGCAGGCGGAAUUCGUGGUGUAGCGGUGAAAUGCUUAGAUAUCACGAAGAACUCCGAUUGCGAAGGCAGCCUGCUAAGCUGCAACUGACAUUGAGGCUCGAAAGUGUGGGUAUCAAACAGGAUUAGAUACCCUGGUAGUCCACACGGUAAACGAUGAAUACUCGCUGUUUGCGAUAUACUGCAAGCGGCCAAGCGAAAGCGUUAAGUAUUCCACCUGGGGAGUACGCCGGCAACGGUGAAACUCAAAGGAAUUGACGGGGGCCCGCACAAGCGGAGGAACAUGUGGUUUAAUUCGAUGAUACGCGAGGAACCUUACCCGGGCUUAAAUUGCAGAUGAAUUACGGUGAAAGCCGUAAGCCGCAAGGCAUCUGUGAAGGUGCUGCAUGGUUGUCGUCAGCUCGUGCCGUGAGGUGUCGGCUUAAGUGCCAUAACGAGCGCAACCCUUGUUGUCAGUUACUAACAGGUUCCGCUGAGGACUCUGACAAGACUGCCAUCGUAAGAUGUGAGGAAGGUGGGGAUGACGUCAAAUCAGCACGGCCCUUACGUCCGGGGCUACACACGUGUUACAAUGGGGGGUACAGAGGGCCGCUACCACGCGAGUGGAUGCCAAUCCCCAAAACCUCUCUCAGUUCGGACUGGAGUCUGCAACCCGACUCCACGAAGCUGGAUUCGCUAGUAAUCGCGCAUCAGCCACGGCGCGGUGAAUACGUUCCCGGGCCU